GGUGGGCGCGUGCGGUCUGCCUCUGGUACGUACUGCCCGCGCCCAUCUUACUUGCGGGGACGGGGCGUGUGCUUCACUGCGCGCGUCUCGGGCUCGCAGAGGUUACUUUGAGUAAAUUAGAGUGUUCAAAGCAGGCAUCCGCAUGAAUACAUUAGCAUGGAAUAACACGAUAGGACACCGGGCUAUCUGUUGGUCUGUAGCACCGGAGUAAUGAUUAAGAGGGACAGUCGGGGGCAUUCGUAUUUCAUUGUCAGAGGUGAAAUUCUUGGAUUUAUGAAAGACGAACUUCUGCCGAAAGCAUUUGCCAAGGAUGUUUUCAUUAAUCAAGAACGAAAGUUGGGGGCUCGAAGACGAUUAGAUACCGUCGUAGUCUCAACCAUAAACGAUGCCGACUA
rnacentral:rRNA from 1 species